rnacentral:ncRNA from 1 species
CUCUUAUCCAGAGAGGCGGAGGGACCGGCCCGAUGAAGCCUCGACAACCUGGAUGCGCGUGAAGUGGGCGCACGGGCAUCCAAGGUGCCAAGUCCGGCAGAAAGUUCAAUUUCUGGAAGAUAAGAG